rnacentral:rRNA from 1 species
GUCUACGGCCAUGCCACCCUGAACAAGCCUGAUGUCUGAUCUCGGAAGCUAAGCAGGGUCAGGCCUCAUUAGUACUUGGAUGGGAGACCCCCUAGGAAGACCAGGUGCUGUAGGCA